GCCACGAAGCGACUUUUAAAAGCGACAGCAGUGUCAACCGUCACAGCAUGCAUUAUUGAGCUGAAAAUAAACCAGACACACUGGGCGAGGCAAGUAGAUCACGAAGAGGUAUGGAACCUCGAUAUUUGUGGCAGCGAGGAAUCGAAAAGCGAAUACGUGCAUCGCGCUCCCUUUGAUCUCGCCUCUUUGCUGGAAAUAACGCGCGUUAUCCGAGUCUAAGAGGGACUUCUUUGAAUGUACAAUGUCAUUGUUACCAAUGACAGCGUCUUCGAAUAAUCUCGUGCUGCGUGAAUGUCUAAAUAUUGGAGUCAAAGGUGGACAAAAUUCUUAUCUGGACACGGUGAUCCAUUAUAGUGUAGUACCCGCAAUUCUCUAGAGGGAAAAAUCAGACAUUAAGGAGAACCGACAGUAAAUCAACAAAUUUUUAGUGGCUACAAGGGCCAGGCUGUAAAUGGAUUGCCUUUUGCUGGGAAAAUCUUAUUAACGGAUAACCGAGGGCGUAAUGGAGGUCAGAGACAAAGGUAUCGCGAUGAGUAUUAAUCAACCAUUCAUUCUUCUUACAAUAGAGAACAGCUUUAAUCUGAAAUAUCAACAUACUUUAAAUAGUUUUUGUGCUUUAUAUUAAUAGUGCUGAAAUUCGAAAUUUACUUUUUACAGAUAGAUGUUUAAUCUGAGAGAUAGUGUAUAAAGUAAGGACUAAUGUUAAAGAAUUAGUUUCAUGUAAAAUGAGAAAGUGCUUUAGAGUGUGAA